GUUGUAUGGUUAAGUGACUAAGCGUACACGGUGGAUGCCUUGGCAGUCAGAGGCGAUGAAAGACGUAGUAACUUGCGAUAAGCCCAGAUUAGGUAGUAACAACCAUUUGAGUCUGGGAUUUCUGAAUGGGGAAACCCACGUGCAUAAGCACGUAUCCUUACCUGAAUACAUAGGGUAAGGAGGCGAACCGGGGGAACUGAAACAUCUAAGUACCCCGAGGAAAAGAAAUCAACCGAGAUUCCGAAAGUAGCGGCGAGCGAAAUUGGACUAGCCCUUAAGCUUUACACGCGUUAGACGAACGGUCUGGAAAGUCCGACGAUACAGGGUGAUAGUCCCGUAGUUGACGACGUGUGUUCAGUGAAAUCGAGUAGGGCGGGACACGUGAUAUCCUGUCUGAAUAUGGGGGGACCAUCCUCCAAGGCUAAAUACUACUGACUGACCGAUAGUGAACCAGUACCGUGAGGGAAAGGCGAAAAGAACCCCUGUGAGGGGAGUGAAAUAGAACCUGAAACCGUGUACGUACAAGCAGUAGGAGCAGGCUUUGUCCUGUGACUGCGUACCUUUUGUAUAAUGGGUCAGCGACUUAUAUUCAGUGGCAAGGUUAACCAUCUAGGGGAGCCGUAGGGAAACCGAGUCUUAACUGGGCGUUCAGUCUCUGGAUAUAGACCCGAAACCAGGUGAUCUAGCCAUGGGCAGGUUGAAGGUUGAGUAACAUCAACUGGAGGACCGAACCGACUAAUGUUGAAAAAUUAGCGGAUGACUUGUGGCUAGGGGUGAAAGGCCAAUCAAACCUGGAGAUAGCUGGUUCUCCCCGAAAGCUAUUUAGGUAGCGCCUCGGACGAAUACUACUGGGGGUAGAGCACUGUUAAGGCUAGGGGGUCAUCCCGACUUACCAACCCUUUGCAAACUCCGAAUACCAGUAAGUACUAUCCGGGAGACACACGGCGGGUGCUAACGUCCGUCGUGGAGAGGGAAACAACCCAGACCGCCAGCUAAGGUCCCAAAUUACUACUAAGUGGGAAACGAUGUGGGAAGGCUCAGACAGCCAGGAUGUUGGCUUAGAAGCAGCCAUCAUUUAAAGAAAGCGUAAUAGCUCACUGGUCGAGUCGGCCUGCGCGGAAGAUGUAACGGGGCUAAGUAGUAAACCGAAGCUGCGGCAAUGCACUUUUGUGCAUUGGGUAGGGGAGCGUUCUGUAAGCGGUUGAAGGUGUGUGGUAACGCAUGCUGGACGUAUCAGAAGUGCGAAUGCUGACAUGAGUAACGAUAAAGGGGGUGAAAAACCUCCUCGCCGGAAGACCAAGGGUUCCUGUCCAACGUUAAUCGGGGCAGGGUAAGUCGACCCCUAAGGCGAGGCCGAAAGGCGUAGUCGAUGGGAAACGGGUUAAUAUUCCCGUACUUCUUACAAUUGCGAUGGGGGGACGGAGAAGGCUAGGUGGGCCUGGCGACGGUUGUCCAGGUUCAAGUGCGUAGGCUUAAGAGUUAGGUAAAUCCGGCUCUUUUUAAGGCUGAGACACGACGUCGAGCACCUACGGGUGUGAAGUCAUUGAUGCCAUGCUUCCAGGAAAAGCCUCUAAGCUUCAGAUUGUAAGGAAUCGUACCCCAAACCGACACAGGUGGUCGGGUAGAGAAUACCAAGGCGCUUGAGAGAACUCGGGUGAAGGAACUAGGCAAAAUGGUACCGUAACUUCGGGAGAAGGUACGCUCUUGACGGUGAAGUCCCUCGCGGAUGGAGCUGACGAGAGUCGCAGAUACCAGGUGGCUGCAACUGUUUAUUAAAAACACAGCACUGUGCAAAAUCGUAAGAUGACGUAUACGGUGUGACGCCUGCCCGGUGCCGGAAGGUUAAUUGAUGGGGUUAGACUUCGGUCGAAGCUCUUGAUCGAAGCCCCGGUAAACGGCGGCCGUAACUAUAACGGUCCUAAGGUAGCGAAAUUCCUUGUCGGGUAAGUUCCGACCUGCACGAAUGGCGUAAUGAUGGCCACGCUGUCUCCACCCGAGACUCAGUGAAAUUGAAAUCGCUGUGAAGAUGCAGUGUACCCGCGGCUAGACGGAAAGACCCCGUGAACCUUUACUACAGCUUGGCACUGAACAUUGACCCUACAUGUGUAGGAUAGGUGGGAGGCUUUGAAGCACGUACGCCAGUAUGUGUGGAGCCGUCCUUGAAAUACCACCCUUGUAGUGUUGAUGUUCUAACGUCGACCCCUUAUCGGGGUUGCGGACAGUGCCUGGUGGGUAGUUUGACUGGGGCGGUCUCCUCCCAAAGAGUAACGGAGGAGCACGAAGGUGGGCUAAUCACGGUUGGACAUCGUGAGGUUAGUGCAAUGGCAUAAGCCCGCUUGACUGCGAGAAUGACAAUUCGAGCAGGUGCGAAAGCAGGUCAUAGUGAUCCGGUGGUUCUGAAUGGAAGGGCCAUCGCUCAACGGAUAAAAGGUACUCCGGGGAUAACAGGCUGAUACCGCCCAAGAGUUCAUAUCGACGGCGGUGUUUGGCACCUCGAUGUCGGCUCAUCACAUCCUGGGGCUGAAGUCGGUCCCAAGGGUAUGGCUGUUCGCCAUUUAAAGUGGUACGCGAGCUGGGUUUAGAACGUCGUGAGACAGUUCGGUCCCUAUCUGCCGUGGGCGUUGGAAGAUUGAAGGGGGCUGCUCCUAGUACGAGAGGACCGGAGUGGACGAACCUCUGGUGUUCGGGUUGUGUCGCCAGACGCAUUGCCCGGUAGCUAAGUUCGGAAUCGAUAACCGCUGAAAGCAUCUAAGCGGGAAGCGAGCCCUGAGAUGAGUCUUCCCUGAUACUUUAAGUAUCCUAAAGGGUUGUCGGAGACUACGACGUUGAUAGGUCAGGUGUGUAAGUGCUGUGAGGCAUUGAGCUAACUGAUACUAAUUGCCCGUGAGGCUUAACCAUACAACACCCAAGGGGUUU
rnacentral:rRNA from 1 species